rnacentral:rRNA from 1 species
UACGUAGGGGGCAAGCGUUGUCCGGAAUCAUUGGGCGUAAAGCGCGUGUAGGCGGCUCGAUAAGUCUGCUGUGAAAGUCCAGGGCUCAACCCUGGGAUGCCGGUGGAUACUGUCGAGCUCGAGUACGGAAGAGGCGAGUGGAAUUCCUGGUGUAGCGGUGAAAUGCGCAGAUAUCAGGAGGAACACCAAUUGCGAAGGCAGCUCGCUGGGACGUUACUGACGCUGAGACGCGAAAGCGUGGGGAGCAAACAGG